GUGCCAGCCGCCGCGGUAAUACGGAGGGGGCUAGCGUUGUUCGGAAUUACUGGGCGUAAAGCGCGCGUAGGCGGCUUUGUAAGUUAGAGGUGAAAGCCCGGAGCUCAACUCCGGAACUGCCUUUAAGACUGCAUCGCUAGAAUCAUGGAGAGGUUAGUGGAAUUCCGAGUGUAGAGGUGAAAUUCGUAGAUAUUCGGAAGAACACCAGUGGCGAAGGCGACUAACUGGACAUGUAUUGACGCUGAGGUGC
rnacentral:rRNA from 1 species